GACGAACGCUGGCGGCGUGCUUAACACAUGCCAGUCGAACGAAGAGCGAUGGAAGCUUGCUUCUAUCAAUCUUAGUGGCGGACGGGUGAGUAACGCGUAAUCAACCUGCCCUUCAGAGGGGGACAACAGUUGGAAACGACUGCUAAUACCGCAUACGAUCUAAACUCGGCAUCGAGGAUAGAUGAAAGGUGGCCUCUACAUGUAAGCUAUCACUGAAGGAGGGGAUUGCGUCUGAUUAGCUAGUUGGAGGGGUAACGGCCCACCAAGGCGAUGCUCAGUAGCCGGUCUGAGAGGAUGAACGGCCACAUUGGGACUGGGACACGGCCCAGACUCCUAAGGGAGGCAGCAGUGGGGAAUCUUCCGCAAUGGACGGAAGUCUGACGGAGCAACGCCGCGUGAGUGAUGACGGCCUUCGGGUUGUAAAGCUCUGUUAAUCGGGACGAAAGGCCUUCUUGCGAAUAGUGAGAAGGAUUGACGGUACCGGAAUAGAAAGCCACGGCUAACUACGUG
rnacentral:rRNA from 1 species